rnacentral:rRNA from 1 species
GAUGAACGCUAGCGGCAGGCCUAAUACAUGCAAGGCGAAGGGGCAGCAAUGUCACUGUCGUACGGGUGCGUAACGCGUAUGCAACCUACCUAUCACAGAGGAAUAGCCUUUGGAAACAGGGAUUAAUACCGCAUAAAGCAGGGACUUCGCAUGGAGAUAUUGCUAAAGAUUUAUCGGUGAUAGAUGGGCAUGCGUCUGAUUAGUUAGUUGGUGCGGGUAACGGCCUACCAAGACGAUGAUCAGUAGGGGGCGUCAGAGCGUGGUCCCCCACACUGGCACUGGGAUACGGGCCAGACUCCUACGGGAGGCAGCAGUAGGGAAUAUUGGGCAAUGGAUGCAAGUCUGACCCAGCCAUGCCACGUGCAGGAAGAAGGUCCUCUGGAUUGUAAACUGCUUUUAUCGGGGAAGAAUAGUUUUCUUGCGGGGGAAUGUGACGGUACCCGAUGAAUAAGCCACGGCUAACUACGUGCCAGCCGCCGCCGUAACAC